rnacentral:rRNA from 9 species
GGGAUCCUUUCCGUAGGUGAACCUGCGGAAGGAUCAUUC